AUUUUAAUAAUAUAGUGGAAAAAAAUAUUAUUUUUGUUGGCAUUCGGUUAAAUCGAAUCGGGUACGCCCAUAAUCGGAUUCGAUCCAACGGAUAUUAUGUUAUCUAAUUGCGAUCGUGCUCGUUUGUAGUUCGAUCCACCGUGAGUUUGGAGCGUGAGAAGACAUUCAAGGACGAUCCGAGGACACGUGAAUCAAUCUAAACGAUCCAGGCUCAUCGCGUUGUUGCGCGAAUCGCUUCCGCAAAAGGUACGAACCGAAUACUUCCGCUGCGUUCUACAAUUUUUAUACUAUAGAAAAUUUAAAAAGUCUAACAACGUAUUCAUCUUCUAUUUUUUAAAGUUACGGUUGCAAUCUCUACCAGAGAAAGAAGUUACAAUCUUAAUUUUAUAGUAUAAGAAGUACUUUUCAAAUUUUUAAGCAUUCUAUAAUAUGAAUAUAAAAUGUAUAGCCAUUACAUUACCAAAUUAGGUCUA
rnacentral:lncRNA from 1 species